AUUGAACGCUGGCGGCAGGCCUAACACAUGCAAGUCGAACGAGUGGCGGACGGGUGAGUAACGCGUGGUAACCUGCCUCAUAGCGGGGGAUAACUAUUGGAAACGAUAGCUAAUACCGCAUACCAUCGGAUGUGCCCAGAUGGGAUUAGCUAGUAGGUGGGGUAACGUCUCACCUAGGCGACGAUCCCUAGCUGGUCUGAGAGGAUGACCAGCCACACUGGAACUGAGACACGGUCCAGACUCCUACGGGAGGCAGCAGUGGGGAAUUUUGGACAAUGGGGGAAACCCUGAUCCAGCCAUCCCGCGUGUGCGAUGAAGGCCUUCGGGUUGUAAAGCACUUUUGGCAGGAAAGCGGUACCUGCAGAAUAAGCACCGGCUAACUACGUGCCAGCAGCCGCGGUAAUAC
rnacentral:rRNA from 1 species